CCAAAUGACCUGUAGCCUUAUGGUUACAACAGCCUUAGUAGCAUUUGAGGUCCUAGGUUCGACUUCUCGUUGGAGCGAAUAUUUUAGGAGAGGCGACUGUGUAAUCACAAAAGAAAACAAAGAGAAAAAACCUUCCACAUGGUAAAGAACAACAGUGACUCGUGGAUCCCUUGCACCGUCCGCCAUCCCCUUCACAACACCCUGCCUAGAAAGAAACUGUAACAUCA
rnacentral:lncRNA from 1 species